rnacentral:rRNA from 1 species
UACGGGGGGGGCAAGCGUUGUUCGGAAUUACUGGGCGUAAAGGGCGCGUAGGCGGUUCGCUAAGUUGAACGUGAAAACUCUGGGCUUAACCCAGAGCCUGCAUUCAAUACUGGCGGGCUAGAGUUCUGGAGGGGAUAGCGGAAUUCCUGGUGUAGCGGUGAAAUGCGUAGAUAUCAGGAGGAACACCGGUGGCGAAGGCGGCUAUCUGGACAGAGUCUGACGCUGAGGCGCGAAAGCUAGGGGAGCAAACAGG